GAAUUUUGCGCAAUGGGCGAAAGCCUGACGCAGCAACGCCGCGUGCGGGAAGAAGGCCCUCGGGUUGUAAACCGCUUUCAGCAGGAACGAAAUUGACGGUACCUGCAGAAGAAGCCCCGGCCAACUACGUGCCAGCAGCCGCGGUGAUACGUAGGGGGCGAGCGUUGUCCGGAUUCAUUGGGCGUAAAGAGCUCGUAGGCGGUUCGGUAAGUCAGAUGUGAAAACUUCGGGCUCAACUCGGAGAGGCCAUCUGAUACUGCUGUGACUUGAGUUCGGUAGAGGAGUGUGGAAUUCCCGGUGUAGAGGUGAAAUGCGCAGAUAUCGGGAGGAACACCAGCGGCGAAGGCGGCACUCUGGGCCGAAACUGACGCUGAGGAGCGAAAGCGUGGGGAGCGAACAG
rnacentral:rRNA from 1 species